UGGGAACCUUCCUUUUAGUACGGAAUAGCCGGCGAAAGCCGGAUUAAUACCGUAUACGCCCUACGGGGGAAAGAUUUAUCGCUAAAAGAUAGGCCCCGNGCAAGAUUAGCUAGUUGGUGAGGUAAUGGCUCACCAAGGCUACGAUCUUUAGCUGGUUUGAGAGAAUGAUCAGCCACACUGGAACUGAGACACGGUCCAGACUCCGUACGGGAGGCAG
rnacentral:rRNA from 1 species